GGACUAGGGUUAGGUAACACUUGGAGACAGUGAUAGAGAGAGGGACUAGGGUUAGGUAACACUUGGAGACAGUGAUAGAGAGAGGGACUAGGGUUAGGUAACACUUGGAGACAGUGAUAGAGACAGGGACUAGGGUUAGGUAACACUUGGAGACAGUGAUAGAGAGGGACUAGGGUUAGGUAACACUUGGAGACAGUGAGAGAGAGGGACUAGGGUUAGGUAACACUUGGAGACAGUGAUAGAGAGAGGGACUAAGGUUAGGUAACACUUGGAGACAGUGAUAGAGAGAGGGACUAGGGUUAGGUAACACUUGGAGACAGUGAUAGAGACAGGGACUAGGGUUAGGUAACACUUGGAGACAGUGAUAGAGACAGGGACUAGGGUUAGGUAACACUUGGAGACAGUGAGAGAGAGGGACUAGGGUUAGGUAACACUUGGAGACAGUGAUAGAGAGAGGGACUAGGGUUAGGUAACACUUGGAGACAGUGAUAGAGAGAGGGACUAGGGUUAGGUAACACUUGGAGACAGUGAUAGAGACAGGGACUAGGGUUAGGUAACACUUGGAGACAGUGAUAGAGACAGGGACUAGGGUUAGGUAACACUUGGAGACAGUGAGAGAGAGGGACUAGGGUUAGGUAACACUUGGAGACAGUGAUAGAGAGAGGGACUAAGGUUAGGUAACACUUGGAGACAGUGAUAGAGACAGGGACUAGGGUUAGGUAACACUUGGAGACAGUGAUAGAGACAGGGACUAGGGUUAGGUAACACUUGGAGACAGUGAGAGAGAGGGACUAGGGUUAGGUAACACUUGGAGACAGUGAUAGAGAGAGGGACUAAGGUUAGGUAACACUUGGAGACAGUGAUAGAGACAGGGACUAGGGUUAGGUAACACUUGGAGACAGUGAUAGAGACAGGGACUAGGGUUAGGUAACACUUGGAGACAGUGAGAGAGAGGGACUAGGGUUAGGUAACACUUGGAGACAGUGAGUGAGAGAGGGACUAGGGUUAGGUAACACUUGGAGACAGUGAUAGAGAGGGACUAGGGUUAGGUAACACUUGGAGACAGUGAUAGAGAGAGGGACUAGGGUUAGGUAACACUUGGAGACAGUGAUAGAGAGAGGGACUAGGGUUAGGUAACACUUGGAGACAGUGAUAGAGAGAGGGACUAGGGUUAGGUAACACUUGGAGACAGUGAUAGAGAGAGGGACUAGGGUUAGGUAACACUUGGAGACAGUGAUAGAGAGAGGGACUAGGGUUAGGUAACACUUGGAGACAGUGAUAGAGACAGGGACUAGGGUUAGGUAACACUUGGAGACAGUGAGAGAGAGGGACUAGGGUUAGGUAACACUUGGAGACAGUGAUAGAGAGAGGGACUAAGGUUAGGUAACACUUGGAGACAGUGAUAGAGAGAGGGACUAGGGUUAGGUAACACUUGGAGACAGUGAGAGAGAGAGGGACUAGGGUUAGGUAACACUUGGAGACAGUGAGAGAGAGAGGGACUAGGGUUAGGUAACACUUGGAGACAGUGAGAGAGAGAGGGACUAGGGUUAGGUAACACUUGGAGACAGUGAGAGAGAGAGGGACUAGGGUUAGGUAACACUUGGAGACAGUGAGAGAGAGAGGGACUAGGGUUAGGUAACACUUGGAGACAGUGAGAGAGAGAGGGACUAGGGUUAGGUAACACUUGGAGACAGUGAGAGAGAGGGACUAGGGUUAGGUAACACUUGGAGACAGUGAGAGAGAGGGACUAGGGUUAGGUAACACUUGGAGACAGUGAGAGAGAGGGACUAGGUCACACUAGGGGGAGGCCUCUUCAACGAUAUGUACUCCAAAUA